rnacentral:tRNA from 1 species
GGGGGUGUAGCUCAGUUGGCUAGAGCGUGUGAAUGGCAUUCACAAGGUCAGGGGUUCAAUUCCCCUCAUCUCCA